CAGAUUGGGUUGGGGGAAGUUGGGUUAUGUGUCAGGAAGGAUUCCUUUAACCAGUUUUCCUCCAUGACCACCAGUAAUGGUCUCACACUGAUCAUCCUCAUCUCUCUCUCAGUGAAAACUCCUUCCAAAAUUUGGGCUUUUUACAAAAUAAAAAAAAAAUGGAGUAGAGGUGGAGUACUGAGAGAGAUGUAAGGUUUUAAUGAGCAGUCAGUUGAUUUUGGAUCACUGUGUUCAACCAUGGAGAGGGUUUUUUCAGAAAGCACUUGAGAAACAUUAUAGUAGGAGAAGAAACUUGGAAGUUGUGGAGUGACAACAGUCUACAGAAGCCGAAGAAAGCUCAAUGAAUAAAUGCCAAUGGUAGAAGUCGGAACUACUUCAACUCCGUGUCCAGAAGAAAAACAUGUUAAAGAUGCUUCAUGUAUUAGCACCUUUUCUGCCUCCAAGGUUCUUAAAUGAAAUCCCAAUGCAUUCCAACCACUUCUCUGCUGGUCUGCUUAGAGUUUCCAGAUAGUUAUUCAAGGCAGCUCAGAAUUGAAUUGAAUAAGGAAGAUCUCAGUUGUUGGGAAAAGGCGAGUUUUUAAGGUAAACACACAUAAUACAAGUUUUCAGCUUUCAACCAAACAUUAAAAGCCCCUUCUCUCUUAGAAAAUCUUGCAUACUUUUGGUUGGUUGGUCAGUAUUCCAUUCCCACAUCCAUACAAAAGUUCAACAAAAGAGAAAGGUUUUCCACUUCUUCUUGCUUUCAAUUUGCACACUGCAAAAUCCAUCAAUUCAUAACCCAUGCGAAAUCCAGCCAAUUGGUUCAGAAAUUUUGAGAUUGUUUUUUGGUCAGUAUUCCAUUCCCACAUCCAUACAAAAGUUAUGAGUCUGUAAAGUUGUUGUUGCUGUACAAAUCAUUGUAUUGUAUUAGACUCUAUGGGAUAAUUGUACACUCUUUAAGUUCAUGGUACAUUAAAGUUUUUCAU